rnacentral:rRNA from 1 species
AAGAUAAGCCAUGCAUGUCUAAGUAUAAGCAAUUAUACCGUGAAACUGCGAAUGGCUCAUUAAAUCAGUUAUCGUUUAUUUGAUAGUACCUUACUACUUGGAUAACCGUGGUAAUUCUAGAGCUAAUACAUGCUGAAAACCCUGACUUCGGAAAGGGUGUAUUUAUUAGAUAAAAAACCAAUGCCCUUUGGGCUCUUUGGUGAUUCAUGAUAACUUAACGGAUCGCAUGGCCUUGCGCCGGCGACGGUUCAUUCAAAUUUCUGCCCUAUCAACUUUCGAUGGUAAGGUAUUGGCUUACCAUGGUUUCAACGGGUAACGGGGAAUUAGGGUUCGAUUCCGGAGAGGGAGCCUGAGAAACGGCUACCACAUCCAAGGAAGGCAGCAGGCGCGCAAAUUACCCAAUCCCGACACGGGGAGGUAGUGACAAUAAAUACUGAUACAGGGCUCUUUUGGGUCUUGUAAUCGGAAUGAGUACAAUUUAAACCUCUUAACGAGGAACAAUUGGAGGGCAAGUCUGGUGCCAGCAGCCGCGGUAAUUCCAGCUCCAAUAGCGUAUAUUAAAGUUGUUGCAGUUAAAAAGCUCGUAGUUGAAUCUUGGGCCUGGCUGGCCGGUCCGCCUCACCGCGUGUACUGGUCUGGCCGGGCCUUUCCUUCUGGAGAACCUCAUGCCCUUCAGUGGGUGUGUUGGGGAACCAGGACUUUUACUUUGAAAAAAUUAGAGUGUUCAAAGCAGGCCUUUGCUCGAAUACGUUAGCAUGGAAUAAUAGAAUAGGACGUGCGGUCCUAUUUUGUUGGUUUCUAGGACCGCCGUAAUGAUUAAUAGGGAUAGUCGGGGGCAUCAGUAUUCAAUUGUCAGAGGUGAAAUUCUUGGAUUUAUUGAAGACUAACUACUGCGAAAGCAUUUGCCAAGGAUGUUUUCAUUAAUCAGUGAACGAAAGUUAGGGGAUCGAAGACGAUCAGAUACCGUCGUAGUCUUAACCGUAAACUAUGCCGACUAGGGAUCGGGCGAUGUUUCUAUCUUGACUCGCUCGGCACCUUACGAGAAAUCAAAGUUUUGGG